UACGUAGGGGGCAAGCGUUGUUCGGAAUGACUGGGCGUAAAGGGUGCGUAGGCGGUGUAGCAAGUUAGAAGUGAAAUACCUAGAGCUUAACUCAGGUGCUGCUUCUAAAACUGCUAUACUUGAGUGCAGUAGAGGAAAGUGGAAUUCCUAGUGUAGCGGUGGAAUGCGUAGAUAUUAGGAGGAACAUCAGUGGCGAAGGCGACUUUCUGGACUGUAACUGACGCUGAGGCACGAAAGUGUAGGGAGCAAACAGG
rnacentral:rRNA from 1 species